AGGGGUGUGGCUCAGUGGUAGAGCGCUUGCCCAGCAUGCAUGAGGCAUUGGGUUCAAUCCCCGGCACCACAU
rfam:Ictidomys tridecemlineatus contig031920, whole genome shotgun sequence.